rnacentral:lncRNA from 1 species
UGGCCAUGGCAGCCAUCAUAGAGGCAGCCAUGCAGUAUAAAGAUGAGAAGUGAGAACAAUAUAAAUGUGGUGAGAAAUUUUGUUUUAAAGAAAGAAAACCUUGAAUAAAACACGAUGUAUUUGUGGAAAUAGUAAAGGUCAGUAUGUUAUGUAUAAUAUGAAAUAUAUUAGUAAAAUCUACUUUGAUUAUCUAGUUAGUUUUAACCUCAUUAACUUGAAUAUGUCGAAAUUUAUCUUAUGCUCAUAGACAUAGGAUUUCAAUCGUUUGUAAUCAUAUGACAUAAAAAUUGCCUUACAAAAUGAACGGUUUGUUAUUAUAUUUAAAAACCAGCCAGGCACUUAGGCCAAUGACCAGCUAAAACAUUCACAAUAUAAAUUCACAUCACAAGCACUAAAAGCAGGCUCGACUUCAAAGUUUCAAACCAUUAACAUUUUACGCUUGGAGGUUAAUAUGCCAAUGAGCCUGCCACAUGCAAUGCUAGAAUGGAGACUAUAAAACUAUAAAGAAUUAAAGUCUAUGCAUGUUGAAGAUUUUACACAAGGUAAAAUUGGGCUGCAGAAACCAGAGUUCCUUAAUUUUUUUGUCAGAGAUACCCAUCGUAACAGCCAGGGAUUCCAAUGUGGGAUUCUGGAAAGUAUGUCACCUUGGCCAUUAAGAGCCUUGUUUUUGUAUGCAUCCAGUUUCUCUGCCUUCCUGUCUUACAACACUACAAAUAUCAAAUGUUAAAACAUCUGCUAAUCUUUGUCUUUUCCAACUUCUCCACAAUUUCACCAACUUCAUAUGUCAGUCAUUUUUUUGUCCAGGUAUGUAAUAGGCUUAGGGUGUAUCUGGUCGUUUCAUCCCCCUUGCCGUUUUGUCCUCUUUAGGUUUCAUUCCCUUUACAUUUCGUCCCCCACAAUAGAUACCAUUUUCUCUAUAAACUAUUUAUCCUACUUUUUCAUAACAUAUAUUUAUUUUUGUUUCUACUUUGAUCACUCAUAAUUUUGUCAUCAUGAUUUCAGUUUUGUCAUUUAUACUUUCAAUAUACUUUCAUUUAUAUAUACACUGCAUGACUCAGUGACUGCAAGCUUUUUGACUGUGUUAUGGAUGCAACACUUUCUUGUAUUGAGGAUAAUUCUGUUUUAUGAGAUUGUAUCUCAGUGGAUUGUAUGCCUGGAUUAUACACAUGGGACUGUUUCAUUUCCUUUUUGGUCAUCGUAUUGUUUAUAAUAGUGGCAUGAUGACAAAAUUAUGAGUGAUCAAAGUAGAAACAAAUAUAAUUAUGUAGAAACAAAUAUAAUUAUAACAAAUAUUAUAUAUGCCUGGCCACGGUGGGAAUCAAACCUACAACCUUUGGAAUACUAGCCCAAUGCUCUGCCAACUGAACUAUGCGAUCAGGUCGGUUUGAGUAUGUGAUGUUGGCAGAGCAUUGGGCUAGUAUUCCAAAGGUUGUAGGUUCGAUUCCCACCGUGGCCAGGCAUAUUUUUCGAGCCUGCCCGGGGUGGAUACACACUCAGAGUAACAUCACAAACAUCAUAUUCACCUGAGUACAUUACACCAACACAGAAGAAAUCAUGAUUACUCGAUUGCAUUGAUAUCGAAGGAACUUAGACUCAUUUCCGAUUAAUAUCACAUACUUGAACUGACCUGAUCAUGUAACUCAGUUGGCAGAGCACUGGGCUAGUAUCCCAAAUAUCGUAGGUUCGAUUCCCAUAGUGGCCAGGCAUAUUUUUCAAGCUUGCCCAGUGCGGACACACACUCAGAUUAACAUUACAAACAUCAUAUUCACCUAAGUACAUAACACCAACACAGAAAAAUUCAAAUAUAAAUAUAUCUGACUUGUGUAUAGUGUAUAUAUAGUUCAUGAAAAAGUAAUAUAAAGUAAGUUUAUAGACAAAACGGUAUCUAGUGUGGGGACAAAACUUAAAGGGGACAAAAUAGAGAGGGGACGAAACGGGGGGGGGGGGCAAACGAGGAGGGCACAAAACAGCAAGGGGAGGGCAUGAAACGACCAUAAAACAGGUCCCCACGUCACUGUUUCACUCAACUGACACAAGUGCACCUCUGGGAUUAGCACUGAGAUCAGGUGUGCUAUAUUUUGAAAGAGAAUUUGCCCUCAGGUGCGCUUGUGCCUAGCGUGAGGCGGUUUCUACAAAAAAACAGAAAACCAACCAAAAAAAACUGAGUGUUUUUAAACCAGUUUUUAAAAAAAAUACAUUCAAAAAUCGAAACUAUGGGGAAAACACUCUACUCAGUACUCACACAAGAUAUUAAACAUAAGGUAUUUUGAAGACAUUAUCAAAUUUCACAGGGAGCCCAAGCGUUGAUCUGUUAGCAUUGGUAUGUUUUUCAGUUGAUUUAUUUUAGUGUCUUUAUAUUGCCUUUUAAUUGAAUUAUAUGUUCACUAAAUUACACUAAUAUGUCAUAUAAUAAUAAUACUCCUAUAGUCUAACAUAUAAUAACAACAUAUACGUUAAUGAUUUGUAUUUGUAUGUUUUUCAGUUUAUUUAUCAAGAUCUAUUAUUAGCUUAUAUAAAAGCACUGCCUUUUGAACCUGACAGCCUGUUCACAGGAUACGCGCGCGGAAGAGGCGGCAAGAUAUAAAUAGUGAUAAGGGAUGAAACUCUUAAAGUUUAUCAUAUUAUGAAUGCCCCGACUUGAGUGGACCGAGCAAUGAGUGACAUGUCAAAUGAACGCCGUCAAUCUUUAGGAAUCAAUGAUAUAAACAAGGAAACAAACUCGAGGGGAGUCAAUUUGUGUCGACCAUAAAGGUUUCAAUGUUUAAAAUUUAAAAUUAGUUAACUACAUUAGGUCCAGUCAAGUCAGGGCAUUCAUGCUACGAAACGUCGCUAUUAAAAACUAUAGCAAUUUAUAAGACGCUAGGGCUUUUAUUUCACAAAAUUUUUCAUACUAGGGGGUCAACUUUUUGCAAUAGGCACUUCUUUAAAUGUCAUUGUCGAUUUUUUUGCUGUUUGAAGCUUAUGCUAUUGUUUAGCGGCAAAAUGCAUAUAAAAUUAUGAUGCUCAAAAACAAUGGAUAAUUCAAUUUUGUGUUAACAAAAACAAAAGCGUGUGCAGCGAAUAAAUUUCACUCACUUAGCGAAUAAAUUUUUACAUUGUCAUUGGCGUGUUAAUUUAAAAAUUAAACCACCUUGCAAUUCCAUUCACAAAUGUAAAUAAUCAUGUAAAUAUUUUCUCUACAAAAUGUGCUCUCAGAAUGCUGUAAGUGCCAUUUCCGGGAUUCAAAUUUUAAAAUUUUCCCAGAGUAUUUUCGUAAAGUGUUCACCACUGGCCGAAUUUCAAGCUAAAAUUCGUUUUAACAAGCACAUACAGCUUCAAAAUAAAACAUUGCCGAAUUGUAAUUUCAUCCCUUGUCGCUUUUCCUAUUUUCAGUGGGAAAUAACAUGCGUAUCCUGCGAACGGGCUGUCAGGUUCAGUUCGAAAGGCGGUGCUUUUAUAUAAGCUAAUAAUAGAUCAUAAAUAAACUGAAAAACAUACAAAUCAACUUAUAUGUUGUUAUUAUAUGUUCGACAAUAGGAGUAUUAUUAUUUAGUGUAAUGUAGUGUUAUAAUUCAGUUAAAAGGCAAUAUGAAGACACUAAAAUAAAUAAACUGAAAAAGAUACAACACAGACACAGAUCAAUGCUUGGGCUCUCUGUGCAAAUUUCAAACAAAAUCGCUUUAGUUUUUCAUAUGUAAAUGCCAUUAAAAAAUCAUUAAUAAUUCAUGAAGAAAACACAAAGAAAAAUCAUAAGCGUGUCGUAUCUGUAUAUGUCAUACAGAUUCAUGUUGAUUUACAUAAACUUUAACUUUGAUUUUAACUUUGAUUUUAACAUUGUAUAUCCGAUACAACACUGCCGCUCAUGUUGUAAAUAGUACAAACUUGAUUCAUUUGCAACAAACUCGUAUAAGGAUGGUUUGAUUUUAGUAAAAUACUGAUUUUUCUUAUGUUUUUUUUUUCAUUUUUCCCUGGUUUUCUCAGUUUUUCUCCAAAAGUAACAUCGAGUAUUUCGGUUUUCAAAAAACAUCGGGGUUUUUCGGUUUAAAACCGCCUCACCCUACUUGUGCCACGUUCUGCAAACUGGGAUGCAUGACGUUAGGAAUCCAAUGGUGCAAUCAUGAAAACAAGACUCUAACAAGGCCCACUUCUAAUGUGAACCAUUAGAACCAUUUAUCCCAGUAUCUUCAUGGUGACAGGAAAAGUGAAUUUCAUCCCGGACUGGUAGAUAUAAAUCAGUUUUAGAUGCAUUGCAGUGCAGGCCAACAUGAUCAGCCAAAAUAUAUCAUGCUUAUUUAAUUAAAACAAGUAUGAAGUCAAAUAUUAGUCUAUAGUCCAACAAAAACUGAUUUAAAAUGUCCGAACACUCUUUGUCUUGGAUAAACAUUUGAUUUACACUGCAAAAUUUAUUUGCAGGUUAAAUUAACCAGACCAUGUUUGGCGAAGUGGUUAGCGCACUUGCCUUUCACCCCUAAGGUUGCAGGUUCUAGUCCCAGUGAGAACUUUCUCGACUCGAACUCAGUCCUCAUGUGAAAAGAGUAAAAGCCAACACUCUGCCGCAAGUUGUGGGUUUCCCCUGGGUACUCUGGUUUCCUCCCACGGGGAAAGCCGACAGGGUGGGUUAGGUAAAAGGGCCCACAAUUGGCAUAUGCCGUUGUGAUGACUCUGCCCCACUGCCCUGCCCUAGUUGGCAAAGCUAAAUAAAUAAAAAACCUUGAUUAUUUCAACAAGACCUAAGGCAGUUUAUCUUGUAAGGAACUAUUAGUUCUGUAUAACCUGUCCUAAUUAUACUAUUUUUGUAAUUUCAAAAAUGUAUAAUUAAAUUGAGUAAAUAAAUAAAAGUACAAUAACCAGAAAAUAUAACCAGAAAUAUUAAGUUAUGGUACCCGAAGGUCAAAAUAGUGUUAUGUCUCUAGUUAACUAGGAAAUUUUAACCAGAUUGUUUUUAGAGUGUGCACAGAACUGUUGAGAUAUUCUAUAUUAACCAUAGUUUUAAGAACUAUUUAGAAAACUUACCUGGUAUGUUGUUUGGCUUUGCUUUAAAUGAGGUUCCCUUUAUAUUUGAUAAUCCUAAAGAUAUAAGAAUAUACACUUGUACUCUUUCAAUGUUUUUGAAAUAGAUACAGUACUGUAGAUUUGGACAAAGGCAAUUGAUCAGUGACUUUUAAAGUUUAUACUUUACAAUAAACAUAUAUGUAUUAACGGGUAUAAGGUAUAAAGGUAUAAACUACAGGUAUAAAGCAAACACUCUUUGCUACCACGACACUUAUCUCUAGAAGUAAACGAUUUGGUACAGUACUUAAUUAAUUUACGAGUAUAAAUUAAGAUGGAAAUGUUAACGAAGGAAAGGGCAACAUGGACGAUCGUGCUCAAUAGGAUAACUGUUUGUACACGAUUUCAUUUUGGUGAAGAUCACCUUGAGUUAAGUUUAUGCACAAAACUAUGCAGAAAAUUACAGGUUUCAAACUCUUACCGUAUUAUUUCUUCUCUCAAGAAUUGUGGCAAACUACAGUGUAUAGAAAUCAUGUGUUCAGAAUAAUGUAGUGCAUAAAGUUCCGGGGGGGGGGGGGGGGGGAGCAGAGGCCAUUUGCGUGGGUUAAGAAACCAAAUUAUGUUAUUAAGGAGGUCGAAAGAUUUUGUGAUAAUAACAGGUGUACCAGACCAAAUUUCACAGUUUCGAUACAUCUCUGUAUUAUAUUAAAUAUGAUAUAACAUCAUACGAUAGCUACUUUUCCCCAGUGGUAAUAACUUGUUGAAAUGUAUGCACUGUAAAGGGUAUGCACUGUAAUAUAUAAUGUAUACAAAUGUGGGACCAAAUGCUCCCCCCCCCCCCUCCCCCCCAGCACAAUAAGUGUUAAACAUGUAAUAUUGUACGUUUGCGUGAACGAAAAACAGUUAAUUAAUCCAAAAGAGUGAAAGGUUGCCGAAAUAUUAGGUCCUACCCAACGUAAAAUACAACCUUCUAGAAAUGUUUUGCAAAAAAUGUAAUUUGCGUAAUGUAAUAGCCAGAAUGAAGCUACAGUAACAAAUUUUUCUGAUACAAUUAAGUAAAUUGUCUUAUACGUUACAGAUCUUUAACUACUUACUGUAUUGCAAACUUUUUUUGUCUACUUUUAGUACUUACAGAUCUAAACGGCUGGAUAGUGUAAAUAGAUGGACUUCAAGAAAUCCUCCGAGACUUUAACUCAAAUGCAGAUAGAGGGCAAAAAAGGACUUUUUAUUUUUUUAUUUUACAAGUUUUGCCGUUAAAAUUGCAGGGGCGGAUCAAUACUCAUCUGACAGGAGGGGUGCAGAUUUCCGGAGGGGGGGGGGGGGNNNNNNNNNNNNNNNNNNNNNNNNNNNNNNNNNNNNNNNNNNNNNNNNNNNNNNNNNNNNNNNNNNNNNNNNNNNNNNNNNNNNNNNNNNNNNNNNNNNNNNNNNNNNNNNNNNNNNNNNNNNNNNNNNNNNNNNNNNNNNNNNNNNNNNNNNNNNNNNNNNNNNNNNNNNNNNNNNNNNNNNNNNNNNNNNNNNNNNNNNNNNNNNNNNNNNNNNNNNNNNNNNNNNNNNNNNNNNNNNNNNNNNNNNNNNNNNNNNNNNNNNNNNNNNNNNNNNNNNNNNNNNNNNNUAACUAAUUUUAUAUAAAUGUGAUUAUGAUUGUAACAUAAUUAUGCAGUCAAGAAAUAAAAAUGUCAUGCAAACAAUAUUUGAAGUGUCUAUACAGCCAACAGCCGGCUAUUUAGUAAACUGUCACUUGUCAAACCAUGAAGUCUCAACGGCUUUAUUGUAAUCAUAUGAAGUUCUGUCACUUGUUGUUUACACUUGCCAAUGUUAGGGGUGCACUGGAACUCGGUUCCGGUCGGAACCCUGAUUUGUGAGAGUUCCGGUUCCGGACGGAACUAAUAAAAAACCAUGGCCGGAAUCGGAACUUUGUCCUUUACAUUGUAUCGGAUCACUUUGCGUCCGACGCAAAAACCAUACCGGAUAGGGCUUCUGUUUACAUAUGAAAUGUUGUUAUCGUCUCAAUUUCUGCAACGAACCGGUGGUGCGGCGGUUCGCUCUUNNNNNNNNNNNNNNNNNNNNGGGGGGGGGGGGGUUCAUUGGUGCGCUACCAAAGGGGCUGACCGGGCUGUUGUAUAUUUUUUAGGCAUAUCGCCAUAACCCCUGUUUUGUGACUCCUGCCCAUGUGAUCAACUCAUCAAGUGCGGAGCUGGGAUGAACAUAAAAUGCUCUGCUAGUACUUUAAUUAGUAACUUGCUAAAUUAUUUAUUGCGCACAGUACACGUUCAAAGUAUCAUUAUUUAAUAAUUAUUAAUGAAUAACAGUAUAAAGUUAUAAAAUAUAGUUGUAUAGCUUCUAAGUAUAGCUUUCUUAGAAUAUUUCAAAUUCGUGAAAAUCGUAUAGUAACAAACUAACAAAGUUUGUAAUAAAUAAAUGAAAUAAUGAAUAGUUUUUUCAAGUUCUCAAUUUACAGUAGUAAUAAGUACAUUAUACAUUUUAUACAGUUAGACUAGUAAUCAGUUUAUUACUUAGACUUUAGCCCACUUAUUGCGCAUGUUUCCCCAUGCUGUUACGACUUCAUCCAAAUCCAGCAAAUCAACAACAUCUCUGUUUAACGAAAUGCAUAAAAGAUCACUUAGGCUAUGUUUACAUUGUAUCGGAUCACUUUGCGUCCGACGCAAAAACCGUACCGGAUAGGGCUUCUGUUUACAUAUGAAAUGUUGUUAUCGUCUCAAUUUCUGCAACGGACCGGUGGUGCGGCGGUUCGCUCUUCGAAGUGGUGCGCGAUGUAUCGGAUCGGUUUUUGCAACGCUCUCAUUGUAAUGUAAACACCAAUCGGAGCAAUUUUCGGUUCAAUGCGUGACUCAAGAUGGCAUCAGGGAAACAAAGACUUGCUAUUCUAAUCUUAUUUGCGGGUAUAGCUUGGCUCACUUAUGAUAUUUUUGUAUUUAGUUGGGCGAGGGCGGAAGCUGUUUAUUUACACUUGGGCCGUAACGUUUCGUGAACGAAGCAAAAACCGAUCCGAUACAAUGUAAACAUAGCCUUAAUCUUUCUGGAAGAAGGGUGGAUCGCAGCUUCGUGCAGAUACGAUUCAUGCUGGAAAAUGCUCUUUCCACUGAAGUGGUUGAUGUCGAGAUGGUAUUCUUACUGCAAUUAAAGUUGUCAAGUUUGGAAGCCUCUUUAGAUUUAUUGGUAGACCAAGACGGUAAUCAACUUCAGCUCUUUCGAUUUCUAGUUCGAGGAUAGAUCUGUUGGUUUUGAGACAGCUGAAGAUAUUCUGAACCUGCAUUAAGAACAUUGAUAGCUCUGAGGAUGUCUAUGUUCUUAGAGUCAAAUCUGACAUUAAACUCAUCGUUGAGUUUCUUCUUCAGCUCUGCGUUGAGUUCUCCAAUAAAUUCUUUUACCUGAUGACCCUGAUCGUCGGGAGUCGUAACUGUUGUACCUGGUCCUCUAGUGUUGUGGAUAGGCAUUGUGUCGCAGAGAGUCUCCAGUCUUUCUUGAAAUUUCUUUCAACUGAAUGAAUAUGUCCUCGUCUUUGAUGUUGUUAAUUGAAUUCCGAGUUCGAGUCAGGUCGUAUUAAACGUCCGUCCAAUCAAUUUCUUCGGCCUGAAGUUCUUUAUUAAGGAAGUAUACUGUAGCUUGCCGAGAUAGUUAUGAAGUGUCGUUAGACCGACGAUGAAUUUUCCUGACAUCAGUUUGUGGUACAGUCCAGCUGCUGUUUCUGCCUGUGAUUUCUUGUACCCAUACUCAUCAUCUUCCGAAUCUUCAUCACUUCCACCGGGGUUGUUUGCCACGUCUAUCAGGGUCGUGAGGACAACGUAACACCAAAUCUUUCAGAUAUAACAUCAACGGCUUCGUAUUUGCAUGCCCAACGAACAUCGAUUUGCCGCGUAAUAUGUUUAACUUGUUUGCUAGGAUACAUUUCUCUGUGGAGAGAUUCGUACUUUUAUCUGAUCUUCGGUUUAUUGAGCAGUGUAUGGCAGGAUUUUACUGUGAACAUAACAUCCGUUGAUGACAAAGUUAGACUUGCGCUCGUAGCUUAGACUUACAGUAUUAUUCUUAGCCUUUUCACUGAAAUUUUAAGCUUAGUAUUCUAUCUUGUUUUUCACCAAGUGAAGUUUAGUCGUUGCUUUUUAUCUGGCCUUUUAUUAAAAUUGAAUAUGCGUUUGGAUAUUUGAUCUUUAGACGUUUUUACGUACAGUAGUAUAUUUACGUUUUAUACGUAGUUUGGACGAUAUCUCCUACACUGUUUGUUCCGUUUAGAUCACUGGUGGUAAUCAUUCCAAGAUCUUUCUGACUGGACAAUUGUUUGUCUGGAGUACCAAGUAGUGUGCCGAAAUGGUAGUAGAGGAUCUAUGAAUUCGCAGGUUUUACAUUGAAGCAUCCGACAAGGAAACGUGCCAUUAUCUGACGACUAAUCCUAUGAUAGGGAAAUACGAAUUAGGGCCUCUCGGAUAUUUUUGCUGUGUCGAAAAGAGACUAGGGGGUUAUCGGGGAAAGUGGAAGAUGUUUGAAGGUCGUUUUUUUAAGACAUGGAAAUCCUUCAUAAUGACAUUUCUUGCUUCAAAAUUACAAGGAUGAUAAGUUACUGUAAAACUAGGGGAAUUCUGUGAUUACCUGUGACAUUAAACGGAGUUUGGGAGGCCUUCGAAAAGGUAGUGUCUACUAAUAGAGAUGUGAGUUAGCCUCGUUCCUCAUUUCCAUUUCUGGCUUGGAAGUCCUCAUAUUCAUUGCAAAUGCGGCGAAGACGAAGGAACUGAGAAAAGAAACUCGACCUUUCGGAAAAUAGGGAAUAGCUAUGGGAGUCAGUAGGUUUGUAGAACACAGAAGUAACUAGUUUAUUGCCAUUUAUUGAUACAAGGAUAUCAAUCACUGGUGAUCAUUCUGAAACUGCCAAAAACCCCAAUACCUCAUAUCCACUAAAUAUCGCACACCUGUCAUGAACUUUAACACUUCUACAUUGUGUUCUUUUGUUCUCUCAUCACAUUAAGGGGCUGAUUACAUGGACUCAUGGAGCGAUUUCAGCCCGGGCUGAGUUUCAGCCCAGCUACCCGGGCUGAAUAUUUAAACGAUUACAUACAGUAGACAUUUUCAAUCUGAUUUAGCCCUGGUAAAAUUUAUCGCUGGCUUCGCGAGAAAUACGAAAUUUAACGCGUGAAAUUUGAUAAAAACACUACAGCGCAUGCGUGUAAGGAGUUUCAGCCGUGGCUGAAGUGAUUACAUGGCAAGAAUUUCAGUCCGGGUGUACUUUUUAGCCAGGGUUGCUCGGGCUGAAAUUCUUGCCAUGUAAUCGCGCGCGGGAUUUUAUUGGGAUUUAUCGUUAAAGCCAGCCUGGGUAGCCGAGCUGCAUGAAAUCACUCCAUGUAAUCAGCUCCUAAAACGAGUUAAUUUUGUGAAAAUUAAUCACAAUUCGUGACUCAGUUUUGUCAAAACUCUGCGGGAUGACAGCGCCCGGCGUUACGUCACAAAAUAGAGCUCUCUGAUUUACUGGGAAAUUUUAAAAAAUUCAAUAAAACUCUCUGAUUGGCUUUCCGAAAUUUCAAUUUACAUACAUAUUUUAAUUUUCAAAAAGAACCUUUUUCGAUUUGAAAUUGGUAUUAAAUUCUCAUGAUUCAUUCAAGUAUUAUUAUCGUAUAUGUAAAUGGCGGGGCAAAUCUUUGGGCGACAACUUUGAAUCUUUGGGCGAAAUCUAACUUUAAACGACGAAUGAUGCAUAUAAUCUGCAUUCUGCAAAAGUUGUUUGCACAAGAGAUUUGGUGGGCGGAACUCAGAAUAUGAGGAUUUUGGGUACCCGCUAAUACCUAGCGUGCUACGCAUGCAGGUUACAAAAAUUUCCGAGAAACCCUAACGGCAGGAUUCGUCGUCAGAUGAUGGCACGUUUCCUUGUCGGGUUCUUCAAUAGAGAGUUUAAGUUCGACUUCCAAUACCGAUACCGAUGUUUUCACUUCCGUUCUCAUUUUGGUACCGGGAAUUUUAAAGCGUUAAGUUAUCACGACAGAUAAAGUAUAGAACACAUCAAUCGUCACCGAAAAUGUGCGGUAUACUAAACGGCAGCUGAGCUAAAAUUCCGACUAAAACAUGACUCAGGCGAUGCUAAUAAACAAAUAGUUCACAUGUUUAUCGUAAAAAUUAUGAAAUAUCCGAUUUAUAUGAGUUUAUCUUACAAUUCCCCCAACUUCCAAUACAAGACCGACUUCGGUAGUGGUGACUUCCAAUACACUUAUCCUCGUGCUUCUUGCAAGCAGAGAGCAUGCGCAUGACAUGUUGUUAGUAUCGGUAUUGGUAUCGGAAGUUGAACUUAAACUCUCUAAUGUAAAACCCGCGAGUUCAUAGAUUCCUCUAAAUCUAAGUACCAUAUAUCAAGCGCCAUUUCACGUGCACCCUCUCCCAUCUCAUCAGUCAUCACGUGAUUCCAUCUGCUGCAUCUCCUGCAAUAAAUGUGGUAUGCUAUAUAUUAAUGGGAAACUGGAAGAAUUUUGAGGAUAAUGUUUGGGGAGCAUCGGCGUGCUGUCAUUGAUAAAGAAGCCAACCAACCUGUUGCCAGACAUUUCAUUAGUGGCAAUCAUAGUGUUUCAGACAUAAAAAUUCGAGCCCUUUGUCCCAUUUUUGGUAGCAACAAGACGCCUGCUCAGGCGUUCACUCAUGAUACGUAUGCACGACACUGGCAGAGCAUCAGAACAAAUUUUAAUAAUCUUUCAAUUUCGAACUUGGGAUAUUAUACCCGUUUUCAAAAUUGCGCGACCUGCUGGAAAAUAAUUUUAGUUCAAUGUCAAUUUUGUAUUAAUUAAAGUACUAGUAUAUAUUGAACUCUAUUAAUACCGAUUUGUCAUAUCUUGCUUUGUUCUCGAAAUACCCGCCAUCUUGGACUAAUUCUUGACCUCAUUAACUAUGGUUUUGAUGACGUCAGGAGUUCGGUUAACCAUAUAAAACUACUCUAAAAUGACCGAGUAACAAUCCAAAAAUGUUUGAAAUGUUUUUAAUCAUUUCUAAAUUUCAGACAGCAACCAGAAACGAAGUUUUGGACCCAUAUUGAUCACUUACUCUCAAAAUAAAAAAUAGCGUGAUCCGUUUCUUGACGUAACAUGCAUAUCCUCAAUAAUCCAAGAUGGCGAACAGCUCACUUUUUUCAGUCGAAAUAUUUUGAAAACUAAGUAAGAUAUAAACAAUCUGUAAUAGAGUUUAAUAUAUAGUUUUAAGAGUUCUUUCAAAUGAACUAAAUUAAUUUUUUAUAGCCAAUGUCCUUUAAGCGAACUGCUAAAAAUGGCAAACGUAAACAAAUGACAUUAUAUACUGUCAUAUGAUAAUAUUAUGUGCUCGCUAUCUACUGAAUGGAGUAGCUACCAAACUCUAUAAAUCUUGCAAAAUUAUAACGAUUUGAAACACUUUGAGUUUCCUAUUAAACUUUGAAUUAAAGAAUACGCCUUUAAGACUACUGAUGAGAUUAGUUAUCAGACGCUAAAAACGUUUCAAGUAUUAUGUCCUUAAAUUUGUCCAAUAUUUGUAUUAAAAUAUUGACGUUUUAAAUGCCCUUGCUUUGAUGCAUAAUUUCCAUGAUAUUAUUUAAAAAUCUAGUGAGUAUUUGAUCGAAAUCAUUGGAUGCACUGGAGUUCGGAACUGCGUACAGUGUAUGUACUAAAUAAACGAAAAAUUUCCAACAAUUAUUGCACCGUAUAGUAUAAGUUUGUUUGAUGAAAUUAAUUAGUAUAGGUCACAUACAGUAUUAGAUUAGUCGUUGACCCUGAGUCUGCGAUAUCUUGAUGGAAUGUAACGUUUGUGACACCCAAAAAACGAAGAAAACAGAAAAUUCCCAUUUUAAACCUUCUGCCAGCCGGAGUAAUGAUAGCCGCAAAAACCAUGAAAUGCGGCUCAUUUCCAAGUUUGAUACUGUCCACCCCUAUUUUUAUCACUGAACGUUUUCUUAUGUUUAGCUAUAUAUCUCUCCUUGCAUGCCUAACUUCAAUUCUCACCUUCUUCCUUACUUGUUUAAUAUAUUCCAUAUAUCUUUUUAGAUUACCUGUAGCUUCCUUUUCCUUUCCUUAGUAAUAUAUUCUGUAAUGUGAGUUACAUUUUUUGUUUACACCUUGUUUUCAGGAACAGUAGUUGAAUCCAACCCCAUCCACAGUCAACAGAAAUAUGGCGGUCAAGACUGGCACCACAUGGUUUAGACACUGAAUAGAAGUAACCAUGUUUAAUAUAGGUUAGCAAUAUCAACUGUUUUCAGCUAUUGUGGAAUUUUAGCUUUGUUGGCUUUGAUUUUACUAGGAGUGUUGGAGUCUGUGGAGGUGGCCUUAAAUAUUGACCAGAACCUUUUGCUUUUCGAUAUUAAUGAUGGAAGUGUUUGAAAGUAGCUACUGCAUCGGUUUAGCUGACUAUAAUGACUUAAUUAGAUUCUUUUGUUAAACCAUAUAGCCUAUUGAAGGUUUUGAGGAUUUUUGAGAAUACAAUAAAGCGACUGCUACGCAGGCUAGUUAAACCAUUGAGUGCAAGCACUCUCCCUUUAUGAGUAAAAUUGUGUGGCGUUAGACAGAGUAAAAUAACAAAGUAUAGGGCUGUUACGGCACAAUGCCACUUAAAGGGUUAACUUCCAUGCACAUUGAACUUGAGCCUGAUAGUAUUAGUAGCUACUUAAUAUGUCUAGACGGAAUGUAUUGAAAUGUAGGCUACCUUAAAUAUAGGUCGCCAAAAUACUGUAUAUAUGCUUAAUCUUCGUUUCUACGGAGGGGUAUGAAAUCAUUUUUCAUAAAUUUGAGGGGUUACCAAAUAAAAUUUGGAAUGUCCGUGUUCGGUACGAAACGUUUUUUAAAAUUAUAAAAAUGGCCUCCGCCACUCCCCCUAUAACACUAUAUAGCGAGUUUGGUAACCAACAACGGCGACGGCAGAAAACAAAAUUACCUAUACUUUUGUAUUUGAGCGAAAACAUACAUUACUAACUUCUUUUUAACCGAACGCGAGGUCUGCAGAGAAUUAUCGGACCGAGGUCUUUUUUGUACAGAUCGAGCCCGUAGGGCGAGUUUUGUACAAAAAGUCCGAGGUCCGAUAUUUCUCUGUACAUACCGAGCAAGCGAGGUUAAUAAAAAGUUUAUUAUAUGGCAUUUAUAAGCAUUUAUACUUGAAACAAACAAGAAAUGCAUGAUUUGAAAUGCAUGUUAGUAGCGUGGUACACAUUUGGUCGAAGAAAACAAAAAAUACCAAUGUAUUCCUUCUUUUCCACUAAGAACCAUUCGCAGAUAUCUUCUUAAUAACAAAUUAAAUUAUGAUUUUCAAAUUUUCAAUUAGUUUUGCUGUUUUGUUUUAAAAUGCAUGCGUUUGUUUUACGUAAUGGACCGCCGGCCAUUACGGGAAAAUAAUGGACCGCUGAAAGUGCUUCUCAGCCAAUCACAGUCUGCCAUUUCACCGGAAGUGAUGCUUGCCAUAUAAUAAACUUUUAAAAGCACUUAUCUUUCUUUUAAACAACCCUGAAAUUCCCUGAAGUAGUAAUAGUAAGUGAAUUAACAUAAAACAUCCCGAACGACUUGAACGUUGUACUCUUUUGGCGUGGUCAUGAGCCGUGAUAAUGAUGUAAAUAACGUAGCAGUUUGAACAACUGGGGCGUACUAGAAUGCUCAAGGGUGCAAAUUAUAUUCACCUUUGUCUUAGGACGCUUUCCAUUAACACGGCCAGACCGGUCAGAACGGUCAAAUUGUUGAAUGACACACAAAACAUUUGGGCUUCGGACCUAUCUGACCGGAAAUUUUAAAUAACAUUAGAAUGAGGUCCAUUUUCGCUAGAUAUUUGAGAAACAUAGACCAGAUCUUUCCAUUGAUACACAGAAAAGUCUGACCGGUCAGGCCAUUAAAUGGAAAGCGCCCGUAGAGUAAAGAUGCUAUUGUUGAUGAGCUCGUUGCCGUUGUAUUUGCCAAACUCUCUACUUACUUAAUGACCGCUCCCUAACGUUUGACAAUGUUCGUAAUUUAUCGAACCCCUGUGUACUCAUAAAAACUCGAUGUUUCAUUCUUCACACGUGAGUAGAGAUUAACUCGUGUGUACGACGUCGUGAUAAAAAUAUGUUUGAAUAUCUUUGUACAAAAAGUGUGCAUGCAGUUGUAAAUAUAAUAGAUAUUCAUAGGAAACUAUUAGCCUCUUCCGCAGGCCUCUCUAUGGGUUUUAGCCUUGUGGACCUGUCAUUGUACCCCACCCCCUAAGUAGCCUUUUGACCCUAAUUAUAUAUUCAGUUUGCCAUAUUCGGGCGAGGAGCGAAGUUUGUGAGUAAAAACUUGGUCAAUUGAAAGGAGUAUAUAUAUCACAAUGUUUCUCGCGGUCUAAAAACACGUGAAAAUUUUGAAUCGCUCGCUCGAAAUUAGCCAAAUGUUUACAAAUGUAUGGGUUCAGAGUUCAAUUGUUCAGCCGAGGAACUACAAUUUGAGGAUCCGGCAUAAUUUCGAACGCAAAAUGGAACGAUACGAAAGGGUAUGAUUAAUAUAAUUUGUUUAAUAAAGGGAUUAUAUUAAAUUGUAUUGUUUCUUGAAUGAUAUUUUGAUAUGUAUAUUUUACUAAUUUUAGUCAAAUCAUCAAGCAUUUGGCAACACGCUCAUGCAGUGAAUUGAUAUAAAGGAAAAGAUCUUUCUGUUGAACUAACUGUUUCAUUAUAAGUGAGGAGAGAUCAUAAUAGCAACUUGGAAAUACUGUAUCAACUACAUAAAUUUAUUACUACAAACAUGAAGAUUUUAUUGGCAUCUCACUUGGUUGAAUAGUUAAAUUGGAAUUUUUGAACUCCCUCACCCCCUUAAUAUCAUGCCGGUAAAUAUGCUAAACCCAGUAAAGUUGCAUUGUGGCACUAUUCAAAUUGGCCAAACACGCCGCGGAAGCUGAUUAACUAAUGGAAUUUGAGUAAUUAACGUUGUUUUAUGAAUAAAUAAUGAUGUACAAUGC